rnacentral:tRNA from 1 species
GGAUACGUGCCCGAAAGAACUAAGGACUACUUUGAUAGAGUAAUUUACAGGGGUUAAAGCCCCCUCAUAUCCC